GCCUGGGUGGCUCAGUUGGUUAAGCAUCUGACUUCAGCUCAGGUCAUGAUCUCGCGGUUCGUGGGUUCAAGCCCUGCAUUGGGUU
rnacentral:tRNA from 1 species